GCGGCGGAUAUCUUCCUCGGCGAGACCGAGCUCAAGGCGGCUAGGGUUUCUGGCGCAAAAAGAACAGCAACGGGGUCGCGGCGGGGUCGUAGGGACUUUAUAGGGUCUCGGGUAGUCGAUUUGGCAAGAAACCCCGGAUUUCCCGUGAUUGGAUUCGGCCGCAGACGCCGUGUCCUAUUCGGACUCGAGGAGGAAGAAGAUGGAAGGGUGCUGACGCGUGGGGCCUAGGGGUCAGCGAGUCAAAGGGAGAAGGAGGGGGGGCGCGCUGGGCUGCUGCUGGCUGAAGCGAACUGGGCCGCGAGGAUGGGAAUCGGUCCAAGCGAGGGGAAAGCGCUGGGCCGCAAGCUGGGCUGAGCCCCGGCCUGGUUUUCCAUGGGUGUUCCCCUACAUUUUUUUUCUUUUUUCUGUUUUCUUUUCCAAAACUUUUUUCCAAAGACUUUUUAAAUAGAAUUUUGAGAGCAAAUAAAUUCCAACAAAUGUCAGCAGCACAAAUAAAUAAAGAUGCUCCAGCAUGAAUGCACAAUCAGGGUUGCUACACCUAUGAUGAAUUUUUAAUUCCCACAAAAUUAUUUAGUUGCUAGAUUUAUAUGCCCACAAAAAUACUUAAAUAAAUCAAAUUAAACCCUAUUAACUGAAAUCCAAGUUUUGGGUGUUACAAACUCUACCCCCUUAAAAGAAUCUCGUCCUCGAGAUUGAACGGUGCUUACUCAAACAAGUAUGAGUAUGAUUUCCUCAGAUCAUCCUCUCUUUCCCAUGUUGCCUCUGCUUCUAAAUACUGAUUUCACUGCACUUUGCACAUUCUGAUGACCCGACUUCUGGUGACUCUCUUAGCCGUCUCCAAUAUUCUGACCGGAUAUUCUUCAUAAGUGAGAUCACCUUUAACAGAAAGCUCUUCCAAUGGUAUUUGCUCCUCGGGUAAACACAAACACUUGUUAAGUUGUGACACAUGGAACACAUCAUGCACACC
rnacentral:lncRNA from 1 species